UCAGUCGUGGGGACGAAGGCUGAGGGGGGACAAGGGAGUUGGGUCAGGCCUUUUGGAUCCUCCCCCCCCAGAGCAGAGUGCUGAAGCCCCCUCCCUGAGCUCAGGGGAAAGGCAGGGUGGGAGCUCCAGGAAUGAACUCGGCCUGCCAGGAAGCCGGGACUCCAGCCCUGCCACAGGGCACAGAGUUCAGCCAAGCCGAACCCUGUGCUGAGCACAGAGGAUGCACCUGUUUCCUGAGCAGGUGACCGACCUGUCAAAGAAGCUUUGAUGUAAAGUUGGUGCCCUGAUCAGUCAGGACUUCCCGGGGGAGGCCUACCUGGGCAAAUAUUAUCAAGAAUUCUGCAGCAAUGGUUCAUGUGUUGUGAUGUUUUGGAGAGGGACUGCUUCUGGGAAGUGGGUGGCAUAAUCUAAAACCACCUGGAUAUACCUGAAUCUCAUGACACUCUUCGUGAUGGGUCCCCAAGAGGUCCAUGGCGAUCCUCUCAAACAGGGUGCCAAUCACCAGCAAGAGAACGAGGGGUGCCCUCUGUACUCCCCGGGGACUGCAAGCUGGCAUUCGGGACAGGAGUCGGAGAAAUCUUUCACCUCCCGGUGCACCCCGGGCCAGAAGAACCAGGCCACAACUCUCACUAGUGUUUUCUCAUGACCCAGUGGACGACUGCUGGAACAUCAUGGAUGAGUUGCAAGAUCGCAUAUUAGUGCCACGAGGGGUAAUGUAGUAAGAGGAGGCCCUGAGAUAUAAACCUUGGUAUCAGAGGCCUAGUAUGAGGCCUAAGGCCUGAACUAAAGUAAUGGUCAAGACUUUGCUAAUAUGAAGCAAAGUUAAGCUGUGAGCAAGAGGCAGGCCCUGCUCACAGAAGUUGGCAAGGAAAGGGCUGAUGUUGCAGAAAUACAUAUUCAUUUAGCAUAGUUACAGUAUAAACAUGGUACCAAGACAUACCAUACCGGAACAUUCCACAGAUAACAUGGAACAGGCCGACCCAUCCCAAUGACAGGGGCAAAAGGGUAAAAUGACGGAUAGAGUUGUUUUGAUCGAACCAACAUGUACAAGGUGAGAGGCGGCACCUUACUACAUAGAGGGGUUGUACCUUGCUACGUAUAGGGGUUGAACCUCAAUACGUCAGGAGUGAUGUGUAACUUGUUCGUAUCUGUGUAUAAGAAUGCAUCCCUGAAUGGAUGUCUUUGUCCGGCCACGGGGGCAGUGGAAAUCCCGCCACUGAGCCGGGUCCUUGCCAAGAGGCAUCUAUUAGUAGUAUGCCCGGUAGACUAAGUAAUCUACGGGGAACUGCAAUUGUGUCCGAGAUCGCAAUAAACCUGGCCGAGGUGCCUUUGUA